GGGCCCGCACAAGCGGUGGAGCAUGUGGUUUAAUUCGAUGAUACGCGAGGAACCUUACCAGGGCUUAAAUGUAAGUUGCAUAGACCAGAGAUGGUCUUUUCUUCGGACUACUUACAAGGUGCUGCAUGGUUGUCGUCAGCUCGUGCCGUGAGGUGUCAGGUUAAGUCCUAUAACGAGCGCAACCCCUGUCGUUAGUUGCCAGCAAGUUAAGUUGGGCACUCUAGCGAGACUGCCGGUGCAAACCGCGAGGAAGGUGGGGAUGACGUCAAAUCAUCACGGCCCUUACGUCCUGGGCUACACACGUGCUACAAUGGCCGGUACAGAGAGCAGCCACUCCGCGAGGAGGAGCGAAUCCGACAAACUUGUCGUAGUCCGGAUCGAAGUCUGCAACUCGACUUCGUG
rnacentral:rRNA from 1 species